CAUAAGCUAAAUAAGGGCGUAUGGGGAAUGCCUAGGCUCUCAGAGGCGAUGAAGGACGUGAUAAGCUGCGAAAAGCUG
rnacentral:rRNA from 1 species